GGGAAUUUCAACCCUGCUUUGUUUCAGCCUCUCUGGCGGCGUUGCUGCAGGGCUGUGAACCCAGGGAUCCCAAACUGAUGGCCCCGCAGCCCCCGAGCUUUAUCCUCACUGUGGAUCUUUGGGGAUGAAUCAAAAUGUUUCAGGCACAACAAACUGGAAUAUCUAUUUCAUCGGGGAGAGGAAAAGGAGAAGAAAAUCAUCAGCUCUAAUGAGAGAUGCUAAGAUAUUUGGGUAUGUUGGGAGGCUGCCUCCUGCUCCUCGCAGUUGGAACAAACAUGCUCCCUAAUCUCUUGGCCCCUAUGAAUGAUUGUUUUCCCCUGGAUAAUACCUUUUCUUCACAUCAGAGCGCUGAGUAUCAGUAGCACACACUUGAUGCUUUCCAGUGCUCUCUUUUGCAGUGCUGGGUCAUUGCCAGCCUUCAAUUUACCUGCCCGCUCCCUUAUCUCUAGGCUGCGGAUCCAUCCUGUGCUGGAUUUCCUAGAUACAAAGGUGUCUUUCUGUGCAAGCUAUUGUUUUAUAAUUCAGCAGCUCUAUCAGUGCAAAAAGUCUGUUUUGUUUCUCUGUUAACCCAAUCAGGGAAUCUGCUUUUACCCCGAGCUUGUCCUGUAGGAUUCAACUCCUCCAAAUGCAUCUCCAGCCUGAUACCAACCAUACUGGACCAACCUAUAGGACCUGCUCUUCUCACCCCAACAUUUCAGCAUCGUGGAACCAAUCUGUGGCCCAGUGCUGGGUGGCACUCAUGUGUGUUACCUGCUUUAUCAAGAGAUGCUAUCCCUUGUUCCAAGGCAUUUUUAAUAGCAGCUCUUUUCUUGACUCCGAGUGGCUCGAUGGUGUGUUUUUGGACCUGAUCACAUUUUUCCCCUUUGGUUACAGAUUUGCUUUGUGCACAGCUUUAAUUCUUGCUUCUGUAUUUAUCCAAACUUGUGCUUUCCUGUAAACAUGGUAUAUUUUCUGGAAGGAAUUGCUCUCCAGCCUCUAUGUGCUCCACUGCUGGGCACUGCUUCCCUCCUGGGUACAACUCCGUUGUCUUUGUACUCUCUUCUUGCAGGAGGUAUCAGGGGGCUGAGCUGUGCCCAACCUUCUUUACAUACCAGGGGUUGAACAAUGCCGUGAAAGAUUUUUCAAACACAAAACACCUUUUUCAUUCAAAAAGCAGUAACCAGCAAUGGUAGGAGUGGGGCUGGGACUUUAGCCAGGCUCUUGCAGACCAACAUUAACGCAUUGUCUGUGAGAGAACUGUUACCUCAGAGUGGACCAUCGCCUUUCCCAGCGCAGAGCUCUUCCCUGCACCUCUCAUCCCCUGCAGCUGCACUGGCAGUGGCCCAUUUCCAAAGUGCUGUCACCCACAUUUAUUCAAUACUUGUCACUGUACAGUCUUCUGGAAGCAGGAGCCAGGUUGAAGCGACAGAUAACAGCUUGUUGUGCUGUUGACACAGUGGUGGAUCCCACGACUCCCCAUAUUUCUCUUUUUAAAGAAGCAUUCCAGCUCUCUUGCUGUUUGAAAAGCCUUCCUUUCAUUAAAUUGUGCUGAUGCCACAGAAAAUUGUCAGCUGUCCAUCCUUUCCCCAGGCAGGGAAAAUAUAUCUGUAUAUAUCUGUAUAUAUGUAUGUAUAAUCACAGCAAGGGGAGGGAAGGGUCAGGUGUUGCUAUGGAAAGAGACUAUUAAUGUGUAACAGAACUGGUCGUACGGGAGGUGCACAAAAUGAGCCUUUCAAAGGAAGGUCACAGGCAGCCCAGCCUCUCUUUGGGGGACACCUGUCCCAAAUUUGAUAAUUUGAUAAUUUGUUCCUCCCAUUAUUUCCCUUUGCUGACGGCUCUUUGGCCAGAUUUUCAAGCAUCAAAAGGUAUCCUGUGCUAAAAUGGUCUGGAUUCAUUCAGAGAGCAAAUUUCUACAAGGCAUGGGCUUGACUGCUUUAUGAAGAGCUUACAGCUAGAUCCUGAGGGUGUAUAAAUUACAAUAACUUUCCAAAGUCCAGCUUAUGCCAGCUGAGCACCUAAUGUACGUGAAAUAUCUUCUGCUUUUAAUAGGAUCAUCCAAAAGGAAAGAAGGUGAAAUGUGAAGCAAGGGGAGAGAAGAAUGUCCGUGUAUUGCUUUCCAGUCUGCAAUGGUCAUGGAUUUCAUUGGGAAUAACUGCUUUGCCCAGUCUGUGUCAGGUGGAGCCAGCUCUGCUUUUACACAUUAACUCCAGCUCUGGCUAAGAGAAGGAAGAUGAUCUCCCGGUACAUUUGUAGAACUGGUUUCUCUUUGCUCCAUGCAUGACCACCCAGAUGCACACAUCUUCCCAAGGCACUCAGCUUUGCCCUCUGCUCCAAUCUUUCUCUGUGUGCCCCAUGAAACACAGAGGAUGUAUUACUAACAGUGGUAUCUCGAUUUCAUUUAAACGUAACAGGACAAAGAGUAGGAUUGCUAGAUGGAUUUUUCAUCUAUAAACUCAUCUAUAAACUGCAUUCUGCAGUAUCACAGAACCAUUGAAUAUCCCAAGUUGGGAGAGUUCAUGAAUGAUCCAUAAGGAUCACUGAGUCUAAGUACUGGAGCACUCACUCCAGUCUGGGUGUUUCUACACCAUUACAAGACUUACUCUUUGGAUACUCUUUGGGCUUCAUCCUGACUGGGCUCCCCUUAACAAGGGAACUAAAAUGAAGAGGUAAAUGAAUUUCUUCCUGGAAGAUUGGAGCAGAAAUGCUAAGUCAUGGCCUGAAGCAGUGACUGAACACCUGGUAGGAAGGCAGGGCCAACCCAGUGGAGCACAGGUGCAUGCAAUGCAAUGCAAUGCAGCUGAGUGAUGAAGGGGUGCAGCCAGGAUCCACCCCUUCCCAGACCUCAUUUAAGGGCUGGAAGUGGAGGUGAGGGUCUGUUGCAGGAGUUCUUUGCGAAACUGUGGUCUUCAGAAGAGCUUCUUCAGAAGUAAAUAGAUUCUGAAACUUUUGUGUUGCUCAGGACCAUAAAAUCUCAGAUCCUUAAAUCCUGGGUAGGACUGUAAGCCACCAGAGUGCUGUGAGGAGUGGGUGCCAGCACUGGAGGACAAAGACUGCAGUAGAAGAGGUGGCUGAGCAGAGGAUCCAAACUGGCGCUGUUGGUGAAGAAGAAACUGGGAUACAGUAAGGAAGAAUGGCAUGAAAAAAGGCACAUGAGCAUCUGGAAAGGGAGGUUAAGAAGUGUGACCUUACUGUAGGAUGGAAGAAAAAGGCAUGUAGAAGAUGUCUGGAAGAAGGGCACAGUGUGCUGAGAGAAGUGAUUUGCUGCUUGGGCUUGGUCUGGAUGACAGAUGGGAGGCUGCAGUGAGGAAAGAGACACAGAAGGGAGAAGGGGCCAGCAACAGAGUGAGUGGGACCUUGGGUGGGCAGUAGAGGAGAGGUGAGAGGCAGUACCAUUUGGGGGGGAGGAGGAUGACUGCCAGCUCUCCUGAGUGAUGGGGUGGCACUGUCAGCAGUGGGGUUGUCAGGGAUGGCAGGUGACAAGGUGUGGGCAAUAUGGAGCAGAAAGAGCUCCUCCCUCACUGCUGAUGUGGGAGGGGUGAGCUCAGUUCUGUUCUCUCAGUGCAGUUCCUCAAAAUCCAGGGCCAUCUGGACACGGUCCUGUCCCUCACACAAGCUGUUGCCCAGGGAUUGCUCUGGCAGCCAUGACUGGCUGGCAUGUCCAGGAGUCUGUGUUCACAGCCAGAAGGGCAGAUGGCACAGGAUUCACUACAGUGGCUUUGCAGCACCUGGUGCCACCAUUUGGGGGUGUGGGGUCCGGUGGAGACAGGUGAGCCCUGCUGUGUGCACUGCAAUGUCAUUCAAUUGAGUUCCACAGGGCUGCUCUGCCAUGCUGACCCAGCAAGCUCCCAGACACCUUCAGUAUCACUGGUGCAAACAUUUGGGAUGGGUAUGCUCCUCUCCAGCUGGCUUUGUGGUGUUGGGCUGUGCCAAAGAUCUGCCUGAGGUGAGGGAGGACAGUGGAACUCAGCUGACAUCACUUCAGCAAUGUGUUUGCAGUGACCAAUGUCUUCGGCUCACUGCCAUUCGUGUUCUGGGUUGCUCAAGAAAUGGGUAUGAAGAAGAGACACUGAAAACUUUGAUCACUCUGCUCACAUGCCUACACACUAGGGUUGUUUUGUUCAAGGAAUGUUUUAUUAGCAUUUCACCAUCCCAGUAACAAUGUUUUUUUUUUUUUUUCUUUAAAUAGCAUUUGUGAUAUGGAAUUUGUCAAAAAUUAAA